AACAAACGCUGGCGGCGUGCCUAACACAUGCAAGUCGUACGAGAAAGGGUCCUUCGGGGCCUGAGUAAAGUGGCGCACGGGUGAGUAGCGCGUGGAUAAUCUGCCCUUCAGUUGGGAAUAACUCAUCGAAAGGUGGGCUAAUACCGAAUCAUGCUGUGAGACAUCGGUUGAUCAGCCAAAGAGAGCCUAGGCUUGCAAGCCCUCGCUGCAGGAGGAGUCCGCGUACCAUUAGCUAGUUGGUAGGGUAAUGGCCUACCAAGGCGACGGUGGUUAGCUGGUCUGAGAGGAUGAUCAGCCACACUGGAACUGAGACACGGUCCAGACUCCUACGGGAGGCAGCAGUGAGGAAUCUUGCGCAAUGGGGGCAACCCUGACGCAGCAACGCCGCGUGAGUGAGGAAGGUCUUCGGAUCGUAAAGCUCUGUCGGAUGGAAAGAACCGCAUAGGGGUAAACAGCCCCUGUGUCUGACGGUACCAUCAAAGGAAGCACCGGCUAACUCCGUGCCAGCCGCCGCGGUAACAC
rnacentral:rRNA from 1 species